rnacentral:lncRNA from 1 species
UAGUUUGAUGAACCCCAAUUUGACCGUCACCCCGGGUAGCACCACGUCCAGCACCACAUCCAGCAGAUGAAGGUGUGCGUGUCCUAGCCAUCUGCGAAGAAAUAUUCCAAAGUCAAUCUCAAGUUAUUUCAACUCACGAUCAAAGAAUGAAAGAAGGGAAAACUUUCCUAAAUGUUCAGUAGCCUCGAGAUCAUAAGUAUGAGCGCCUACAUACCCAUGAACAAGACUCUACUAAACAUUGAUCCAUGACUCGGGACUUAAAGCCUAAGCUCUGAUACCAACUUUGUCAUGACCCCAUUUAGGAUUUUGACCAGCGCUUAGGAGCAAGUGCUCCCAAGUAAGCCUCAUCGGUAAUUUUUACAGAAAAUCGGACAGAGUUUCUCCUGUUUUUGGACCAUCCCAAAUUUUUUCUCCUGUCUCAAAUCAGCAACCAAACACCCUAAUAGCAACUCAAACAAUCGACAACUUAUUAAUUAACCAAAAUAGUCUUCACCAUUACUAAUCAACCCACUAACAACCAGAAAUACUAAUUUAUCUCCGACUUUGAAAAUAAAGAAUGAUACCCGACAUAAGACUAUAAUAACAAAAGAAUACUCACAACACUAAAAUAAUGACUAUGGAGUGACUCUAAGAAUUCAAUGAAAAGACCAUAACAAUAAAUAAAAUCUCUAUCCACGCGAACAAAUGCGAGGCUCAUCAAGAACUAUCAACUUGUGCGCUCUAAUUAACGAAAUCCUCGCCUGCGUCAACUGCUGUCUCUGUAAAAAAUUUAGCGGGGAAUGAGUCGCUAGCUCAGUGAGUAAUAACACUUAACCACAACCGUUUUUAUUUGGGGACAAGUCAGAAACAUGCUAGUAUCUCAACGAGAAAAUAACAUAAAAAUGCCCUUCAGAAAUAAUAAAUAAUUUUCAGUCUCAUCACGCUUUUCUUGUAGUAAAAUAUAAUUAACAAUUCAGUAAUAAGCUCGGUAACCACGGUAUAAUAUCAGUAUUCAAAUUUGGGAGGUUUCAAUGAACGGAUCAUAUAAUCGGUAUAAUUGUGGACUUCUUCGCAAGAAGUCAAAUAUAACGGCAGUCCCUACUCGAGGGAAAUAGGUAACGGUAUGCUAGUUCUACCUUCCCACUAGCGAGAGCUAUAACUGUACUCUGUAAUCGGUAAAUACAAGGUGCACCAGGUCUAACGAACCCGCUGUUAGCUACGGGAUCCUUCAAAGUCUACUCCCAUUUAUACUUGUCUCUGUAUCCAUAUAUGCUCAUAGGAAAAUAUUUUAAAACAAUAUAGGGCAUUUUGGUUCUUAUCAAAUCAUGUAAUUUCAUUUCAAUAACAGUAAAUUCAAGUAACGGUAGAACAUAUCUAGUGACAACAAGAAUAUUUAAAACAACGGUAAUCAUCUCAAAUAACUAUUUCGGUAUCAUAUCGAGUAAAAGACUUGUCCCACAUGCAACUCAAAAUAAUCGGUAACAUAUAUUAAAAAUCAUGUGUAAAUCAUGCAAGUUAUGAAAACACAAAUUGCGGUAAGAUUACUACUCACAGUACUCGUGCCGAAAUACCAACUGCUUCACUUCAAGCAACUCGUACAAAUUCCUCCGAUCAAUCUAUAAUUACAUAAUAUCGAUCUCAUGUUAAUUUUCUUAUUUAGGCUAAUUCAUAGCUAAUUUAGAAUACCCGACCCUCGAGGUUUCAUGUUUGACUCUUAAUUUGCCCAGAAUAAUUCUUAUUGGUAUUUAAUUUCUUAUACCUUAUGAAACCCUUCAAAUAUAUGAACUGAGAUAAAAAGAAUUACCAGAAGAAAAGAACUCAGAUGAGAAAUUCGAGUAUUACCCGUAAAACCCGUGCGUAUUUAAGAUUUCUCAAGAUUUGGUUCUAGCCUCUUUCUUCUUUCUCCCUUCUUUCCUUCUAUGUUUUUUUUUUCUUGUUUCGUUUCAGCUUCUGCUUCGUUUACGCAGAUUCUCUUUGCCAGAGAAAGGGGGCUUCGGCCUUUUUCCUUUGUUU